AGGGGUGUAGCUCAGUUGGUAGAGCGCUGGUCUCCAAAACCAGAGGUCGCGGGUUCGAAUCCUGUCACCCCUGCCA
rnacentral:tRNA from 1 species